rnacentral:rRNA from 1 species
AUUGAACGCUGGCGGCAGGCCUAACACAUGCAAGUCGAGCGAGCGGCGGACGGGUGAGUAAUGUAUGGGGCCUGCCCGAUAGAGGGGGAUAACUACUGGAAACGGUGGCUAAUACCGCAUACUAUCGGAUAACCCAUAUGGGAUUAGCUAGUAGGGUGGGUAAAGGCGCACCUAGGCGACGAGCUCUAGAUGGUCUGAGAGGAGGAUCAGCCACACUGGGCUUGUGACACGGCCCAACCUCCUACGGAGGCAGUAGUGGGGAAUAUGGCCCAAGGGGGGCAAUCCUGAGGCAGCCAUUCCGCGUGUAGUAAGAAGUCCUUAGGGUGUGAAAGUACUUUCAGCGGGGAGGCGUUACCCGCAGAAGAAGCACCGGCUAACUCCGUACCAGCCGCCGCGGUAAUAC